rnacentral:rRNA from 1 species
UACAGAGGUCCCAAGCGUUGUUCGGAUUCACUGGGCGUAAAGGGUGCGUAGGCGGUUUGAUAAGUCUGAUGUGAAAUCCCGCAGCUUAACUGCGGAACUGCAUUGGAAACUGUUUGACUAGAGGAAUGGAGGGGAGACUGGAAUACUUGGUGUAGCAGUGAAAUGCGUAGAUAUCAAGUGGAACACCAGUGGCGAAGGCGGCUCUCUGGGACGGUACUGACGCUGAGACGCGAAAGCGUGGGGAGCGAACAGG